rnacentral:rRNA from 1 species
AGAGUUUGAUCAUGGCUCAGAUUGAACGCUGGCGGCAGGCUUAACACAUGCAAGUCGAGCGGUAGCAGGCCUUCGGGUGCUGACGAGCGGCGGACGGGUGAGGAAUGCAUAGGAAUCUGCCUAUUAGUGGGGAUAACACGGGGAAACUCGUGCUAAUACCGCAUACGUCCUACGGGAAAAAGCGGGGGAUCUUCGGACCUCGCGCUAAUAGAUGAGCCUAUGCCGGAUUAGCUAGUUGGUAGGGUAAAGGCCUACCAAGGCGACGAUCCGUAGCUGGUCUGAGAGGAUGAUCAGCCACACUGGGACUGAGACACGGCCCAGACUCCUACGGGAGGCAGCAGUGGGGAAUAUUGGACAAUGGGCGCAAGCCUGAUCCAGCCAUGCCGCGUGUGUGAAGAAGGCCUUCGGGUUGUAAAGCACUUUAAGUGGGGAGGAAGGUUAGUGGUUUAAUACGCUACUAAAUUGACGUUACCCACAGAAUAAGCACCGGCUAACUCUGUGCCAGCAGCCGCGGUAAUACAGAGGGUGCAAGCGUUAAUCGGAAUUACUGGGCGUAAAGCGCGCGUAGGUGGUUUUGUAAGUUGAAUGUGAAAUCCCCGGGCUUAACCUGGGAAUGGCAUCCAAAACUGCACGACUAGAGUAUGGGAGAGGGUGGUAGAAUUCCAGGUGUAGCGGUGAAAUGCGUAGAGAUCUGGAGGAAUACCGGUGGCGAAGGCGGCCUCCUGGCCUAAUACUGACACUGAGGUGCGAAAGCGUGGGUAGCAAACAGGAUUAGAUACCCUGGUAGUCCACGCCGUAAACGAUGAGAACUAGCCGUUGGUCUCCUUGAGAGGUUAGUGGCGCAGCUAACGCGAUAAGUUCUCCGCCUGGGGAGUACGGCCGCAAGGUUAAAACUCAAAUGAAUUGACGGGGGCCCGCACAAGCGGUGGAGCAUGUGGUUUAAUUCGACGCAACGCGAAGAACCUUACCUGGUCUUGACAUCCACGGAAUCCUGCAGAGAUGUGGGAGUGCCUUCGGGAACCGUGAGACAGGUGCUGCAUGGCUGUCGUCAGCUCGUGUUGUGAAAUGUUGGGUUAAGUCCCGUAACGAGCGCAACCCUUGUCCUUAGUUGCCAGCGAGUAAUGUCGGGAACUCUAAGGAGACUGCCGGUGACAAACCGGAGGAAGGUGGGGACGACGUCAAGUCAUCAUGGCCCUUACGACCAGGGCUACACACGUGCUACAAUGGCCGGUACAGAGGGUUGCCAAGCCGCGAGGUGGAGCCAAUCCCGAAAAGCCGGUCGUAGUCCGGAUUGCAGUCUGCAACUCGACUGCAUGAAGUCGGAAUCGCUAGUAAUCGCAGAUCAGAAUGCUGCGGUGAAUACGUUCCCGGGCCUUGUACACACCGCCCGUCACACCAUGGGAGUGGGUUGCACCAGAAGUAGUUAGCUUAACCGCAAGGGGAGCGAUUACCACGGUGUGAUUCAUGACUGGGGUGAAGUCGUAACAAGGUA